CGGCGGACGGGUGAGUAACGCGUGGGUAACCUGCCUCAUACAGGGGGAUAACAGUUAGAAAUGACUGCUAAUACCGCAUAAGCGCACGGGACUGCAUGGUCCGGUGUGAAAAACCGAGGUGGUAUGAGAUGGACCCGCGUCUGAUUAGCUGGUUGGCGGGGUAACGGCCCACCAAGGCGACGAUCAGUAGCCGACCUGAGAGGGUGGCCGGCCACAUUGGGACUGAGACACGGCCCAAACUCCUACGGAAGGCAGCAG
rnacentral:rRNA from 1 species